CACGUAGUUAGCCGGGGCUUCUUAGUCAGGUACCGUCUUGUCUCGUUCCUGCUGAUAGAGCUUUACAUACCGAAAUACUUCUUCACUCACGCGGCGUCGCUGCAUCAGGGUUUCCCCCAUUGUGCAAUAUUCCCCACUGCUGCCUCCCGUAGGAGUUUGGGCCGUGUCUCAGUCCCAAUGUGGCUGUCCACCCUCUCAGGCCGGCUACUGAUCGUCGCUUUGGUAGGCCGUUACCCUGCCAACUGGCUAAUCAGACGCGGGUCCAUCCCAUACCACCGGAGUUUUUCACACAGGAGCAUGCGCUCCCGUGCGCUUAUGCGGUAUUAGCACCUGUUCCAGGUGGUAUCCCCCGGUAUGGGGCAGGUUACCCACGCGUUACUCACCCGUCCGCCACUAAGAUACAUCCUUCCGGAAUGCAAGCACUCCUUCUUAAUGCAUCCCCGUUCGACUUGCAUGUGUUAAGCACGCCGCCAGCGUUCAUCCUGAGCCAGGACUCAAAACUU
rnacentral:rRNA from 1 species